rnacentral:lncRNA from 1 species
AGCUGGGAGACCGUGGGCGGAGGUGAUACAACCUGACUGAUGAUGGCUGACAAAAGAAGAAGAAAGUAGCUGAGAACCAGCAGCUGAAGAAAGAGUUUACCUUCGGGCAGCUCAUACACCAGCUGACAAUCUGUCCUCACCCCGAGACGGCAAGCCAAGCUCAGGUGUGUUACGGCUCCACCAGAAAAAGAUUAUUUGCCUUCUUUCCCUCGGUGAACAGCUGAAGCCAAAACGCAGCCCCUGGCACUCCAGCUGUACUCCGUCACAAGGCAGGGCCAGGAAGGUUCUAAUUCUUGCUUCCCAGAUCACACACUUUACAACUGAAGAGCGUCUCGGUUUUGCUCUUGAUCCUACUUUAACCUUUGCCAGCUCCUAGUCCUUUACUAAAGCAUUGAAAACUGUAAAAAGCCUCCUCAGUUCAAAUGCCCAUAAGCAGAGCCCCGAUCGAAUGGAAUGACAUCCCAUUAAACCAACUACUAGGCACUGAGAAAGGGAAAAAGAAAGGGGGCUGAGUGAGGGGGUCGAGAGGGAGGGACGUGGGAAUGCUUUUAAGUAACAAUGGGGAAUGAUUUUCAAGAUAUAUUGGGGGGAAUGGGAGAUGCGCAAAAUGGAGCAGUACCUUUUGUGUUUGAAAAGGUAGAAAAGCCUAAUGACUUCCAUACUCAUGUAGAGACCCUGAAGAUGACACUCAGAUCCACUAACAGGAGAACCGGGGUCCAACCGUGUAUCAAACCAGCAAGAUGACAGGCAUGCGAAAGAGGAUUCUCAUGACUGCCUUUCUCAUAUGUCUUAUUUUUGAACUAUAUAAAUAUGUAUAAAUAUAUUACCUAUUCAGAGAAAGGAAAAACAGUAGGAUGCUAAAAGAAUGGAGACAUAGACCAGAAAAUCUGGCCAUGGGCAAUGUAAGUUGAAAGAAUAUAUGUCAAUAAUUCAAAAAACUGAAAUUUUAGUUUUUAAAAUAUUUUUUUAGAUUGAUUUUAUGUUAUGUGAAUGAAUGCUUGCCUGCAUGUGUGCAUGUGCAUCAUGUGCAUGCUUGGUGCCCAAGGAAGUCAGGGGACGGUGGACCCUCUAGAACUGGAUGAUUACAAAUGAUUGUGAACCACCAUGUGGGCACCCAGGUUCUCUGCAAGAUCAACAAGUGCUCUCAACUGCUGAGCCGUAUCUCCAGACCUGGAGCAAAGCUGAGUAGAGCUUCCAGCUCUACCAACCCCUCAAGGGCUGCCUGGCCUGCGCACAUUAUUUGACCACCCAGUGCCUGCUCCACAAGAGUUGGGGGUAGGAUUGAGAAAGUUAGAACAAGGACAAGGAUACCACAAGAAGAUCUACAGAGUCAACUAACCUGGGUGCAUGGGGGAAGCUCUCAGAGACUAAAUGCCAACCAAAGAGCCUGCAGGGGCUGGGCCUAAGCCCCCUACACAUUUGUAGCAGAUGUGCAGCUUGGUCUUCAUGUGGGCUCCCUAACAAUUGCACCAAGGACUGUCUCAGUCUCUGUUCCCUGCCUUUGGAUCCCCUUUCCCUAGAUGGACUGCCUGGUCAGGCCUCAGUGGGAGAAGAUGUCCCAAGAUGGGUUAGCACCCAAGGGGGGCUUCCCCUUCUCCGAGGAGAAGAGGAGAGGAUAAUGGAGGAGGGGGUUGGGGGGGGGAGGGCUGGAAAGGAGAGGGGGCUGCUAACGAGAUAUAAAGUGAAUAAAUAGUUAAUGAAAACAAAUAAUGAAAUACAGUCUAAAAAUAAA